rnacentral:rRNA from 1 species
CAGGACGAACGCUGGCGGCGUGCCUAACACAUGCAAGUCGAGCGAGGAGAUCCUCGGGAUGAUCCUAGCGGCGGACGGGUGAGUAACACGUGGGCAACCUGCCUCAUAGAGAGGAAUAGCCUUCCGAAAGGGAGAUUAAUACCUCAUAACAUUGCAGUUUCGCAUGGAACAGCAAUUAAAGGAGCAAUCCGCUAUGAGAUGGGCCCGCGGCGCAUUAGCUAGUUGGUGAGGUAACGGCUCACCAAGGCGACGAUGCGUAGCCGACCUGAGAGGGUGAUCGGCCACAUUGGGACUGAGACACGGCCCAGACUCCUACGGGAGGCAGCAGUGGGGAAUAUUGCACAAUGGGGGGAAACCCUGAUGCAAGCAACGCCGCGUGAGUGAUGACGGCCUUCGGGUUGUAAAGCUCUGUCUUCAGGGACGAUAAUGACGGUACCUGAGGAGGAAGCCACGGCUAACUACGUGCCAGCAGCGGC